rnacentral:rRNA from 1 species
UACGAAGGGGGCUAGCGUUGCUCGGAAUCACUGGGCGUAAAGGGCGCGUAGGCGGCCAUUCAAGUCGGGGGUGAAAGCCUGUGGCUCAACCACAGAAUUGCCUUCGAUACUGUUUGGCUUGAGUUUGGUAGAGGUUGGUGGAACUGCGAGUGUAGAGGUGAAAUUCGUAGAUAUUCGCAAGAACACCAGUGGCGAAGGCGGCCAACUGGACCAACACUGACGCUGAGGCGCGAAAGCUAGGGGAGCAAACGGG